AUUGAACGCUGGCGGCAUGCUUUACACAUGCAAGUCGGACGAGUGGCGGACGGGUGAGUAACGCCUCGGAACGUACCGAGUAAUGGGGGAUAACUGUCCGAAAGGACAGCUAAUACCGCAUAUUAUUCGAGCGGCCGAUGUGUGAUUAGCUGGUUGGGGGGGUAAAGGCCCACCAAGGCGACGAUCACUAGCGGGUCUGAGAGGAUGAUCAGCCACACUGGGACUGAGACACGGUCCAGACUCCUACGGGAGGCAGCAGUGGGGAAUUUUGGACAAUGGGCGCAAGCCUGAUGCAGACAUGCCGCGUGUCUGAAGAAGGCCUUCGGGUUGUAAAGGACUUUUGUCAGGGAGGCGGUACCUGAAGAAUAAGCACCGGCUAACUACGUGCCAGCAGCCGCGGUAAUAC
rnacentral:rRNA from 1 species